CAAUGUUAGUAAAAAGAAUCGGAUAAACACAUUUUUCAUAACCAAUUUUAAAUGGCUAAAAUGAAAAUAUAAGUACCUUUGUAUAGAGACUCUUUUUUUUAGGAGGUCCUCUUUUUUCGUGAGGCUCAUGGUGUGCUAAAGGGUGCUGAGAUGGAGUAGGUUGAGCGUCUAUCGAUUGUGAAGUAUCUGCAGCGCCUAAGUUCUCCAUAACUUUUUCUUUUUCCUUAUUACCAUCAAUUAGUACGUGUGAAUACAACUAGAGCAAACCUAAAUAGACAUACUUGUUUUGAGCGAAUAUUACUCUCUGUUGGCCAAUUCUUUUUUCUCUCCUGAAUCCAAGCUUCAAUUUCCUCAGGUGUAUUAAUGGAAAUAUUCCUUCGCUUCAAGUAUUCUAUUCCAUCAACUGCACAAGCUCCCCUAGUAUUUCCGGCAUGUGAACCCCCUCGAAAACUUCUCCCUCUUCCUCUUCCACUGCCUCGCUUUGUUGGCUUAAAAGAAAGAUCUUGAUCCAUUCGCCGUUUCCCAUGCCUUCCUACAUUUUCUGUCUCACUACUAGAAUUCUUUUGAGUCAAGGAGGCAGAAGAAUUCGUUUGCUCAAAAGGUUUGUUUAUGAUGGGAGGAGGUGGAGGUUUAUCAUAUAUAAAUGAGGUAGGAUUCAUCCCAAAUAACUCAAAGCUUCAAGAUAAAUUCUCAAAUUGAAAAAUUAGUUUUCAAAGUCAAUGUAUAAUCACCGCAACGCGAAAUUGCAAAACACAAUCAAUAGAGUAAGGAACGUGUUUCUCAUAAACGAGAAUUUACAGAAAUUCCAAAAUGUAAUAUAUGAU